CGAGUUGAGCGAGAAAGUUUAUAAUUCUAUUAAUUCUAUAAACAAGUAUAGCAGCGAACGGGUGAGUAAUAUACAAGAAUCUACUUUAUAGUUUGGUGUAAGAUACCAAAUAAAAUAGUACAAAAGCUAUUAAAAGAUUAAUCGCUAUAAAAUGAGCUUGUACAGGAUUAUGGUGGUUGGUGGGAUAACAGCCUACCAAGCCGAAGAUCCUUAAUUGUUCUUAGAGGUAGGGCAAUCACACUGGAACUGAGACAAUGUCCAGACUUUUCAAGGCAGCAGUAGGGAAUAUUGGACAAUGGGCGCUAAGCCUGAUCCAACGAUAUCGCGUGAGUGAUGAAGGUUUAUUUGUUAUCGUAAAGCUCUUUCGAUGAGGAAGAUUAUGACUGUACUCAUAGAAGAAGCCCCGACUAACUUCGUGCCAGCAGUCGCGGUUAAACGGAGGGGGCAAGUCUUACUCGGAAUUACUGGGUGUAAAGUGUAUGUAGGCUGUAUUUUAAGUCUUGUAUUAAAUCUCAAAGCUUAACUUUGAAAAGAAUACUAGAUACUGAUAUACUAGAGUUUAACAGAAGAAAGUGGUAUUUCUAAUGUAGAGAUGAAAUAUGGUAAUAUUAGAGAGAAUAUCAAAAGCGAAGGCAGCUUUCUAGGUUAAUUAAUAUGAAUACAUUCUUUUUAGAAGGUAGAUCAUUAUUUAUCUGACGCUGAGAUACGAAAGUAUGGGGAGCGAAUAGGAUUAGAUACCCUGUUAGUCCAUACUGUAAAUAAUGGAUGCUAAGUAUUGGAAUGUUUUUUCAGUGCAUAAGCUAACGCAAUAAGCAUCCCACCUGAAGUGUACGAUCGCAAGGUGAAACUCAAAGGAAUUG
rnacentral:rRNA from 1 species